rnacentral:lncRNA from 1 species
GUUAUUUUUGCUCUUGCAAGUUUCAUAUUUGAACCUUUAAAUUUGAAGUUCUUUUUAAUUUUUGAAUUAUAAAUAGCUCUUUAAACCACAUAUCACAUUGAAACAAGCUGGAAGAAAGAGUGUAAUAGAGGAAUGGAGUAGUAGCCUAGUUGACAAACCUGACAUUAAAGAAGAUUCAUUCAUCAGGAAAGUAUCGAGACGUGAUGUAAUAGAGAUAGUGAUAGAGAUAGAGAGGUAAUAGAGAUUACAAUUUUCUUGUCAGUGAAGUUGUGUUUUCUUAUCGCUUGUUGCCUGACAGAUGUGAUCAGUUUACAGUGUGAGAACUGGGGAUAUCAGUCUCACUACUUGUCUUCUCUAUCACUUUAUUAUUGAGAGAGAGGUAUGCUUAUGAGGGGAAUCAAUUUUUGUCCUCUAUUAAUUGGCAAGCCUGAUUGAGCUGUAUCCAAGAUUUUGCUAAAGCAUUGCUCGUCACUUGGAAAAACUUUGGAGCCAGGGAACAUCUGUGUAUCUCUGCCCGAUUUUUUAGUUGCAAUUUAUCCUAGUUCUGGAUUCUAGUCAAAAUAUGUAGUAGAUUGGUUGUGACCAAAUUGUACAUAUUCUCAAGUAUUAUUUUUUCUUCUAUUAUGCUUUAAUAAAUUUCAUGUAAAACUAGGAAAGAAAGAGAUAAGAAAAUGGCUCGAUUUUAUUCUUGAACAAUUUCCGCUUAGAGCGGUUCACGAGUUGACGACCCACCACCUUCACAAUCGACCAGGAACCCUUGAAUCAUUAUAAGGACGGCCGCAGUGGAUUCUAACAACGGGCUCUGUACUACGAACUCGCAGGACGUGUCAGGGAUAGCAACAAACCGUCAGUAUCAAAUCAAUACAAUACCCAGUACGAUCAACGGAACAAGGUAUGAAAAAAUAAUUCAUCGUGAAAAGGUGUAAACAGGAAAAACGAAGUGGAUUAUAAACUGUUUCAAAAAGGGGAGUGGUUCGCCAAUACAGACUGUGUUUGGUGUGAUUAGCUUUUCUAAAAAUGUUUAAUCACCCCUGACACAAUCAAAGUCUUUGGGGUGAAAAUAAUGGAAGGCGCCUAGGGGCUAUAAAUAAGAUUUAACAGGUUAAUUUUCUGUAAUGUGAAGAACAGGUUGGUUUUGUAAACUUGUUUUGUUUUAGUUUGAAUUUUACUAGAGUCCUAAUAGUUCCCGUUUGAGUAACUUCUCAACCUUAUAUUUUAUUAAAUUUCUUGUUUGCUAAAAUAAUUUAUUAUUUUGAAGAUCUCUGUAUUAAUCUUGGCUUACCUGAUUUCUUAACGCUUUAUUAUCUCUAGUCAAAAUAUUUCUAGUCAGUUGAAAUAUAUUUUGUAAUGUUCACAAAAUCAGGUCCAUUAAAGUCAUAUCUCUCUCUACAAAUAUGUUGUUCAUUAACUAGUCUCCUUUCCACACCAGAUAGUAAGUCAAGUAGUCUUUAUUUUGUUACGUAAUUCAAAAUUUAUUCUAAAUUUUUACUGCCAACCAAAGAAAUGUAACAGUGAGUACAUAUCAAUUAAAGUUCAAGUGAAUGACUA